rnacentral:lncRNA from 1 species
UCAUGCACCCUAAUCAGAAAAUCUAUGACUGGGUUUUGUGUACAAUUAGGCAAUAACCUAAUUUCUUGAAAAUUCAGUAAACAAAAGACAAUGGCACUGUCUUCUGCUGAGGCAGAAUACAGAGCAAUGUGCUCUGUGUCAUGUGAGAUAGUAUGGUUAAGACAAUUGUUGGGUGAAUUAGGCAUAAACUCAACUAAUCCACAACCAUAUUUUGUGAUAGCAAAUCUGCAAUAUACAUUGUAAUAACCUGAUUUUUUUUUAAUUUAAAUAGGGUUAUUCCCAAAUUUACUUAAACAUACAAUCAAGAUCCAUAUACCCGAAUGGGCGUACACAACAAAAUCAAAGUACUAGCGAAAACCAAAUAGACUCGAUCUUUAUUUAACUAAUAUCCUAGGAUCCCAUUCAUGUGUGAAACCCUCUGUCCAGUCCAUUCCAACCCGUCCCUUAUUCUGCAAUAAAAUGUCAUUUACAUGGGUAAGUUUCAAAAACUUAGUACGUGAAUAUAUAAUCAAUUUUAUAGUUCAUGAAUUUCUUUUGGGGCAUAUCAGCCCUCCUUGGUUACCAAUAGAAGUUCUUAUGAAUCCCCCUUUCUCCUUUACAUGGGUCAUCGAGUAAACCCUCGCCAUGCCGUCAAACCCCGUCGGGUCAUGUAGCCUCGUCAGGCCCGUUAAGUUCCGUUCAUUUCAUAAUUGGGUUGGUUGUUUGAGGUUAAGUCUCAACUCUAUAGUCUCAACUUAAAGAUCUAAGCAUUUCAUCCCUAAGGAUCUGUAAUUUCGUAUGAUUAGGCAUGAGUGAGGAGAGAUUGAGUGUUCCACUCAAUCCAAAUCUUGAUUUGUAACCUUGGUGGAUCUUCGGUGAAUAGAGAGGAGGUUAGAUUGAGUGUCACCCCGGGGACUUGCUCAAUCUUCUCCUUUCAUCGUUCACCUCUAAAUCCCUAACUUCAAGGUUUGGGUUCCUUUAGGAUUUAACCCGAUGGUGGAUGGGAAUAGUUCAGGUCGAGUACCAUUCCAAGAACUGGCUCGACCCGCCCCUUUCGUUGUCCAUUCCUAAAUUCAUUCGAAUUUAGGGUUAGGGUUCCUUAGGUUUCAUUGAUUUCCCUUUUACACUUUUCGUUAUUAAAUCCAAAGAAAACUCAAAGUUGAAAUAAAACCCGAAAUGUCAUUUAAAUCCUCGAGUAAUGAAACGGUUUGCAUUAGUAAAAAUCAAACUUUUAAAUCGACUAGGUUUUAGUUUAAUUUACCUCUCGUUCGUUAACUCAAACUUUGAAAACAAAACGCAGACCUUUAAAUUUACUCGACCACCACCCUGAAAUAGGCGGUAGGUCUAUAGAGUUGAGACUUAACCUCAAACAACCAACCCAAUUAUUCAGACCCGUCUCUUGAUUUUAUUGGCUAAAAUCAACCAUGUGGGUGUCUAAGGCUUAAGCGUGAGCUUCUAGCCCUAGGGCAGCGCAAAUCCUGAACUUGGAGACCUUAUGGAGCCCAGUCCACGAUUAUAGUCCCGUGUUCAUAAGGAUUUUUUUGCUGUCCAGUAAAUUAAUUUAAAGAACAAAAAUCAGAAACCAACAACUCCAGAGAUUAUCGAGCAAUGAUACUGAAAUAUCAGGCAGAAAAUCAGAAGACAGAAAAUCAGAAAAUCAGAAAAAACAGAAAACAGAAAAACGGAAAAACGGAAAAUAAAAAAAGAAAAACAGAAAACAGUAAACAGUAAACAAACCGAAGAAAGAAAAGAAGAAAACCUUAACUUCCCUUGAACCAAAAAAAAACAAUCGAACAACAACUUUGUUGUACGAAAACAGGCCCCAAAUCCUCCAAUGGAGAUACAAUCCGUAAACCAAAAAUCAUUCAUAUUCUUACAUAAUUUCAUUUCAUUUUUAAUAACAAUACUUCAUACUAAAAAAUUUCUAGAAGAAGGAUUGAAUAUAUCCACGUACCUUGAUCUCCUCUUAGUUUUUUCUUCUAACACUUGCAAGCCCUAGCCGAGUCCUUCCUUUCCUCUUCCUUCAAAUUUCCGUCCCUCUCUUUUCUAUUUUUAACACCUCCUAUUUAAAGAUUUAACUCCCUCUUCAAUUUCAUCUAAAUCUUUCCUUUAUCUUUUCCUCAAUCAAUUAAGAAUAUUCUCUUUAAUUGAUUCUUUUGACCCAUUUGCCCCUAUUUUAAAAAUGUUUC